AAAUUGAAGAGUUUGAUCAUGGCUCAGAUUGAACGCUGGCGGCAGGCCUAACACAUGCAAGUCGAACGGGAACAGGAAGCAGAUUGCUGCUUUGCUGACGAGUGGCGGACGGGGGAGUAAUGUCUGGGGAACUGCCUGGUGGAGGGGGAGAACUACUGGAAACGGGAGCGAAUACCGUAUAACGUCGCGAGACAAAAGAGGGGGAAGUUCGGGCCUCUUGCCAUAGGAUGAGCCCAGAUGGGGUGAGCCAGUAGGCCGGCUCUUAUU
rnacentral:rRNA from 1 species